rnacentral:lncRNA from 1 species
CGGCUAAUAUUUUCUGAAAUCCAAAAUACAAUAAAACCAAAGAUAAAAAGGCUAUGUUAUCUCCUGAAAUGACUUGUCUGUAGCAAUACUUCAGUAAAAAUGUUUUAAAUAAACUUUUCCUAUUUUCACAGAAAGAGUAGGAGAGAAAAUGAGGAUACUGGAAAAGACACCAGUAGAGGCAAGAAGGCAUAGAAGGUUAUGAGUCUUUGGAGUGUCAGUCUUUGCACUGCUGCCUUCAGGAUCAUUUCUGGAGGACUUUCUCCGUGCUGUGCACCUAGGGUUGAGAGCAGGGGUGAAACAGGACCAACAACCCUGCUUUCUUGCUGGCUGUCACCUGAGGACCAUUCCCAGCUUUUAAAAUUAAUCUGCAAAAUUUAUAUAUAUAUAUCGGGUUUCUUGACUCAUGAUUCCAUUUCUUCAUCUUCAAAGCCAGAGAAUACGGGUGGAGUCCCUCUCAAGGGAGACCCAAGUGAAGAUACGAAGCUGGUACUUUUUGGAAAAAUGAGAAGAGUUGUUGUGGUCAGAGGUUUGAGAUAAUUGAUUUGGAGAGAGAAAACUGAGUUGUACAGAAAAACAUCAUAGAGACAACUGGUAAGAUUUUUUUUUUUUUCCUGAAAUACAUGCAUGCCCGUAUUUUCACCCCAAUUAGGUUAUCUCUCUGAUAGCAAACAUGUGCUUAAUAACUCCUGUGUUUUUCUUAUAGCAGGUUUCUGAGUGUGUGAAAAAUACUAAUAGAUAAUUGUUGAUUUUACAAUAAAAUUGAUUCAUUAUGAAUUGCUGUUUUUUGUACUGGCUAUACAAUUGCUUAUGUAUCAGUAUCAUAUUUUCAUUAAGGAAAUGA